rnacentral:tRNA from 1 species
UGGCCCUUAGCUCAAUGGUUAGAGCAUCAGGCUUAUAUCCUGACGGUUGAGGGUUCAAGUCCCUCAGGGCCAA